rnacentral:lncRNA from 1 species
AUGGUGUCGCACAUUCAGAAUCCAAAAGCGAUCCCCAAUAAGAGCCCCCCAAACUUAGCUAUCUGCAUUCUGCUUUCGUUUCAUGUAGGUUGUUGCAGGAGAUUGGAAGGAGACUGCUGGUCAGCUGGUACCCUGAAUCCCAUGAAAUAAAGAAGAAGGGACAAAGCUCCUAGCACCAGAAGCAAGGAG